rnacentral:rRNA from 1 species
CCUACGGGAGGCAGCAGUGAGGAAUAUUGGUCAAUGGGCUUACGCCUGAACCAGCCAAGUCGCGUGAGGGAAGACUGCCCUAUGGGUUGUAAACCUCUUUUGUCAGGGAGCAACGCCGGCUCCGUGUAGCCGGACUGAGAGUACCUGAAGAAAAAGCAUCGGCUAACUCCGUGCCAGCAGACGCGGUAAUACGGGGGAUGCGAGCGUUAUCCGGAUUUAUUGGGUUUAAAGGGUGCGUAGGCGGAGUGCCAAGUCAGCGGUAAAAUCGCGGGGCUCAACCUCGCUCCGCCGUUGAAACUGGCGGUGUUGAGUGGGCGAGAAGUAUGCGGAAUGCGGGGUGGAGAGGUGAAAUGCAGAGAUACCACGCAGAA